GGUUUUAUAGUAAAAAUUUAUAACAUUGGAUUGCAAAUCCGAAGAUGUGGGUAAGCACUAAAACUU
rnacentral:tRNA from 1 species